CGGGGUGUAGCGCAGCCCGGUAGCGCGCCUGCUUUGGGAGCAGGAUGUCAGGAGUUCGAAUCCCCUCACCCCGACCA
rnacentral:tRNA from 13 species